rnacentral:sRNA from 1 species
AUCGGGAAAUCGAGAAAUUGGAAAAUCGAGAAAAAGGGAAAUUGGGAAAUCGAGAAAUCAAGAAAGCAAAAACGCGAAAACACGAAAGCGAAAACCGAUUUCCAGAUUUCCCAAUUUCUUGAUUUUUCGAUUUUUCGAUUUCUCGAUUUCUCGAUUUCCCGAUUUCCCGAUUUCUCAAUUUCUCGAUUUUUGCUUUCUCUAUUUCUCGAUU